rnacentral:rRNA from 1 species
AUAGCGUAUAUUAAAGUUGUUGCAGUUAAAAAGCUCGUAGUUGGAUCUCGGGUACUAGCAUGUGGUACGCUUAAUUGCUGUUACUGCUUGUCUAGUCCUAAUCAAUCGGUUGGCCGUUUAUGCCCUUUACUGGGUGUUUUCGGUAGCCGGUACGUUUACUUUGAGAAAAUUAGAGUGCUUAAAGCAGGCUUUACGCCUGAAUAAUGUUGCAUGGAAUAAUAGAAUAGGACCUCGGUUCUAUUUUGUUGGUUUUGUAGAGCAUUGAGGUAAUGAUUAAUAGGGACAGACGGGGGCAUUCGUAUUGCGGUGUUAGAGGUGAAAUUCUUGGAUUUACUGAAGACUAACUACUG